UAGAGGAGCGGUGUUUGCACAACCACUAUGGUGUAACAGGGGUUGUGUACUCUGUAGAAAAGAGAAAGUGAUAUGCAAGUAUCAAUCCCAUCACGCAAGUAUCGAUCGAUACCGAUACCAAUGUUGGUAUCGAUACUAUAAAUAUAUUUGACAUCGAUCCGCCCACCACUUCCUGCAGGAAGGGACGAAAGAUUUUCACAAACUUGUGUGUCUCAGACGUGAACAUGGCAGGUUUCUCGGAAAGGACGCUACAAGUGGCUGUCGUGGUUUCUUUCUCUGUCGGUUUUCUGGCGGGGUGGCAGGCCAACAAGAUGUGGAAAAAACAUCAGCAAGAUAAAUGGUCGGAAAUACAGAAGAAGCUGGAUUCGUCGUGAAUGAUGUGAGGCUUUCUGUCUUGGGUGGAUGCUGAUCUUAUUGGUAAAGCUGUUGGAUCCUGGAUAUGCUACAGUCUGAUACUGU